ensembl:miRNA mir26a-3 microRNA 26a-3
CUAAGCUGAUACUGAGUCAGUGUGUGGCUGCAACCUGGUUCAAGUAAUCCAGGAUAGGCUUUGUGGACUAGGGUUGGCCUGUUCUUGGUUACUUGCACUGGGUUGCAGCUACUAAACAACUAAGAAGAUCAGAAGAG